rnacentral:tRNA from 1 species
GGGAAUGUAAUUCAGAGGUAGAAUGCUUGCCUAGCAUGUACGAGGUCCUGAGUUCCAUCCCCAGGACCUCA